ensembl:lncRNA
AUGCGAUCUCAUCGGGUGCACUGUGUGAUACUCUACCAUACUGUCACUGAGGGGACCGGGGCCCCUGGAUCUCAUCGGGUGCACUGUGUGAUACUCUACCAUACUGUCACUGAGGGGACCGGGGCCCCUGGAUCUCAUCGGGUGCACCGUGUGAUACUCUACCAUGCUGUCACUGAGGGGACCGGGGCCCCUGGAUCUCAUCGGGUGUACUGUGUGAUACUCUACCAUGCUGUCACUGAGGGGACCGGGGCCCCUGGAUCUCAUCGGGUGCACUGUGUGAUACUCUACCAUGCUGUCACUGAGGGGACCGGGACCCCUGGGUCUCAUCGGGUGCACUGUGUGAUACUCUACCAUGCUGUCACUGAGGGGACCGGGGCCCCUGGAUCUCAUCGGGUGCACUGUGUGAUACUCUACCAUGCUGUCACUGAGGGGACCGGGGCCCCUGGGUCUCAUCGGGUGCACUGUGUGAUACUCUACCAUGCUGUCACUGAGGGGACCGGGGCCCCUGGAUCUCAUCGGGUGCACUGUGUGAUACUCUACCACGCUGUCACUGAGGGGACCGGGGCCCCUGGAUCUCAUCGGGUGCACUGUGUGAUACUCUACCAUGCUGUCACUGAGGGGACCGGGGCCCCUGGAUCUCAUCGGGUGCUCCGUGUGAUACUCUACCAUGCUGUCACUGAGGGGACCGGGGCCCCUGGGUCUCAUCGGGUGCACUGUGUGAUACUCUACCAUGCUGUCACUGAGGGGACCGGGACCCCUGGGUCUCAUCGGGUGCACUGUGUGAUACUCUACCACGCUGUCACUGAGGGGACCGGGGCCCCUGGAUCUCAUCGGGUGCACUGUGUGAUACUCUACCACGCUGUCACUGAGGGGACCGGGGCCCCUGGAUCUCAUCGGGUGCACUGUGUGAUACUCUACCAUGCUGUCACUGAGGGGACCGGGGCCCCUGGAUCUCAUCGGGUGCACUGUGUGAUACUCUACCAUGCUGUCACUGAGGGGACCGGGGCCACUGGAUCUCAUCGGGUGCACUGUGUGAUACUCUACCAUGCUGUCACUGAGGGGACCGGGGCCCCUGGAUCUCAUCGGGUGCACUGUGUGAUACUCUACCAUGCUGUCACUGAGGGGACCGGGGCCACUGGAUCUCAUCGGGUGCACUGUGUGAUACUCUACCAUGCUGUCACUGAGGGGACCGGGGCCCCUGGAUCUCAUCGGGUGCACUGUGUGAUACUCUACCAUGCUGUCACUGAGGGGACCGGGGCCCCUGGAUCUCAUCGGGUGCACUGUGUGAUACUCUACCAUGCUGUCACUGAGGGGACCGGGGCCCCUGGAUCUCAUCGGGUGCACUGUGUGAUACUCUACCAUGCUGUCACUGAGGGGACCGGGGCCACUGGAUCUCAUCGGGUGCACUGUGUGAUACUCUACCAUGCUGUCACUGAGGGGACUGGGGCCACUGGAUCUCAUCGGGUGCACUGUAUGAUACUCCACCAUGCUGUCACUGAGGGGACCGGGGCCACCUGGAUCUCAUCGGGUGCUCCGUGUGAUACUCCACCAUGCUGUCACUGA